UUUUGUAAAUUAAUUAAAAUAAUCUAAUAAGACAAAAAUGAUAAAAGCUAUCAUUUUUUUUCAUUCUUUCUUCUUCAACCGUGGGAAAGAACUGAAAAUGGCAGCCAUGGAUGAGCUCCAUUCAGCCAAGCUUCUAUGGCUUAUAUUGAUGAUGAAAAUUGAGAUUUGGACCUAGAACGGAAAGAAAUCGAUUUAUGAACGAGUAUGUCUUUUCACCUUUGUGGUAUCGAGAGUUUCCAAGUUAGCUCGGGUGGGAGGCCGUCAGAGAUAUUAUCACCCUAUCGAGUUAACGUUAUCGGAGUAAGUAAACUCAAGUGAUUCGAGUCUAUGGCAUGUAUAGGGUUUUAAUGUGAGUAUGUAAUAUUAUGAUUUAGCCAAAGGCAUUGGCUUGUUAUUAAGGUAGUAUUAGUCAUGUAAAUUGGCUUAUGUCGGCUAAUGACAUUAUGGGCCCAUAUGAUUAUUCUUAUGCAUGUAUGUUAUUAUCUCUUGUGAUGUGGCUUACAACAUGUAUGCCUAGAGAUUGAAUUGAGAUUCAUUGAUGAGCUAGUAACUAAUGCAGGAUUAAGUGAUUGGUAAAUAGUUAAUAA